rnacentral:rRNA from 1 species
UACGUAGGGCGCAAGCGUUGUCCGGAAUUAUUGGGCGUAAAGAGCUCGUAGGCGGUCUGUUACGUCCGCUGUGAAAACCCAGGGCUUAACCCUGGGCUUGCAGUGGAUACGGGUAGACUAGAGGCAGGUAGGGGAGAAUGGAAUUCCCGGUGUAGCGGUGAAAUGCGCAGAUAUCGGGAGGAACACCGGUGGCGAAGGCGGCGCACUGGACCAUAACUGACGCUGAGGCGCGAAAGCUAGGGGAGCAAACAGGG